rnacentral:lncRNA from 1 species
UUAACCCGGUUUUUGUGAAAUUCGUUAAGGUUCGAAUCUCAUGACUACCGUUAAGGUUUGAUUUGGGUUUUACACCAAUACGUAUUCCAUUCUGUUAAACUAUGUAUUUAACUACCAAAAAUACUCCCAACUACACCCUUACAAUCAAACAAACUAUUAAAUCAUCAGAAGAUCCAGAAUAAUAAAGUGCAUGCUUAAUUAUCGGAAGAAGUAGAAUCAAGAAGUUUGUUAACUCAAUCCUGCAUGCUGAUUUGUAAUUACAGUAGAUUGGAGUAAGGAUUGGAUCCGGCACUAAAAGACUUCAAGAAGUGGCUUAUUUUAUUAAUUAAAUCAAAUUAAGAAAUAUUGUUUUAUUAAAAGCUACCUUUGUAAAACAUGGAAUUUAUUUCAUCUAUUUAA